CCUACGGGAGGCAGCAGCGAGGAAUUUUGCGCAAUGGGCGAAAGCCUGACGCAGCAACGCCGCGUGGGGGAUGAAGGCCUUCGGGUUGUAAACCCCUUUUGCAGGGGACGAUGAUGACGGUACCCUGCGAAUAAGCCACGGCUAACUCUGUGCCAGCAGCCGCGGUAAGACAGAGGUGGCGAGCGUUGUUCGGAAUUACUGGGCUUAAAGGGCGCGUAGGUGGUAGUGCAAGUCUGGGGUGGAAUCCUAUGGCUUAACCAUAGAACGGCCCUGGAAACUGCAUUACUGGAGUCAGGGAGGGGAGGGUAAAAUUCCUGGUGCAGCGGUAAAAUGCGUAGAUAUCAGGAGGAAGGCCGUUGGCGAGGGCGGCCCUCUGGCGCUGGACUGACACUGAGGCGCGAAAGCGUGGGGAGCAAACAGGAUUAGAUCCCCGGGUAGU
rnacentral:rRNA from 1 species